UUGGUUCUGCUAACCAAACGAGGAGGGGAUCGAUCAGCUGUGAGUGAUGUUUGGUUGAGAGAUGAAAUCACCACCGUUUGCUGUGAUGUUAUGAUACGUUGUUUUUAGGGGCCCCAAUCCAUUGCAGUGAGCAGCACAGUGAAGCAGACUGACACAGAGUAGUAGGUAGCUGUUGAAGUUACUGAUCAAUCACUGUGUGAGAGUGAGAAGCUGUAAACAAACAAUAUUAACUACGAGAGCUUAAAGUAGCACUCCAGCUGUUUGCCUAAAUGCCACAAUGAAUCAAAAGGUCACAAAACCCCACGUUGAGAGGUUUUCAACGAUUGGACGCUUUGAUUUACUGUCACUCCCCAUUUCCAAUCCCACCUUUUCUUCUACAGGGUUCAGGUAAAUGUUUUAAUGAAGGAUUAGUUUUUGUUUGGGUAAAUUGCACCCAAAGUCACUAAACUAUCAGUAAAUUUAAGUUUUGAUCAUUCAGUUUUAAAAAGUUAUAAAUUAAACUAUUCAAAAGUCUUAAUUUAAGUCAUCAAACUAUUGAAAGUUUUUAUUUCACUGAGCUAUUAAGUUUUUUUUUAAAGUUCAGCUAGUUAGCUCCAAGAGACAAUUAAAUGAUCGGUACGGCGGAUUAGUACCAAUUGACGAGUAAAAGAAUAUACAUUAGAUCCAAGUCAAUAUGAUAGUCAGUGUUGAAGAUCGAAAAAAAAGUUAUUUGGAUUUUGGUUCACAAAUUCGUGACUGAUAACAUGUUAAUUUGCAUGACAUUUUGUGUUUAAUUCGGUUUAUUUCUGAAUUUAUCCCUGCUAAAUUAGUACUUUUAUGUUUUAAUCUUGUCAGGGAUGCAAUUGGGACGCUAAGAGACAAAAACGAGCAGAAAAGGACCAAAUUGAAACACAAUA
rnacentral:lncRNA from 1 species